rnacentral:tRNA from 1 species
GGGGCCUUAGCUCAGCUGGGAGAGCGCGUCGUUCGCAAUGACGAGGUCAGGGGUUCGAUCCCCCUCUGCUCCACCA